rnacentral:rRNA from 1 species
GACGAACGCUGGCGGCGUGCCUAAUACAUGCAAGUCGAACGCAGUGGGGACGGGUGCGUAACACGUUGGUCACCUACCAUCAGAGGGGAUAACACUUGGAAACAGCUGCUAAACCGAUACUGAUGGAUGGACCCGAGGUGCAUUAGCUAGUUGGUGAGGUAACGGCUCACCAGGGCCCAGAUGCAUAGCCGACGUGGACGGGUGACAUGCCGCACUUGAACUGAGACACGGCCCAGAGUUCUACGGGAGGCAGCAGUAGGGAAGUGUCGGCAAUGGACGAAAGUCUGACCGAGCAACGCCGCGUGAGUGAAGAAGGUUUUCGGAUCGUAUAACUCUGUUGUUAGAGAAGCGGUAUCUAACCAGAAAGCCACGGCUAACUACAUGCCAGCAGCCGCGGUAAUAC